UUUAAUUAGAACAUUUGUUUCAUUCAUGUUCUUUUAUAUGUUUGUUGGCAUCAGCUUUUGGCCUUUUUUCCGCCUGUUUCUGGGAGGUUUAAGAUUAAAAAAUACCCAGCAGAUUUUCCCACACUGAAUCUGCAUAAACCCUUCAUUGGCUUACUUGUCACCCUUAUAUAUACCUACAUACAGAUCUCCCCAUUUUCUUUUCACCCCUCUGAAGCUGAAAUUCUGGUGUUCUUCCUAAUUUUGAACUACAAAUUAUGAGCUUAGUGGCAAGAAGGUCUCAUAUGGCUUGAGUUGCAGCUGUUAAUAUGUAAGUUUCAUUAACCCUUCAAUGGAAAACAACUAAAUUGGAGGUAUUGAUUAGUGUGUUUUAUUUUUUUCCUUCCCUUUUAUAUUUGAUUUUUUCCUUUUACAUUCAAUUUUGAUGAUUGUGUUAAUGGGUUUAUUUGUUUGAGUUUAUUUUGGAAAUUAAUUAGACUAUACUGUGUGCAUAAUUUUAUCUCUAUUUGGAAUUUAGUUUUGCCUUAUUUAUGAUUUAGAUGACUCUAUAAUGACCUGGGAAUGAUUUAGGAGGUAAAUAGUGAAAUGGGUUUGGUUGUUUCUUAAUUGUAGAUUCCAAGAACUAUAUAGACAUGUGGCUUCCAUGGAGCAAAAAAUGGCGGUGAAUGAUGCUAUAAAGAAAAUGGGAAUAUAAACUAUAUCUUGGC
rnacentral:lncRNA from 1 species